rnacentral:lncRNA from 1 species
AAAUCCAUAAGCGGUGACACCCUUCAAAGAAGUGAGGGUCUGGAAUGCCUCAGCUGGAACAUCAGCAAAGUAGGUCUCAACAAGAACAUUCAAGCCAGACAGAGUUGACUCUAGCUCGGCAUAAGCCUCACUGAAUGCAUGCAAUUUGUGUGAGUCAAGAUCCAUAACAAGCAAUGGCUCAUCAAACUGAAUCCAGGAAGCACCAGCAGCCUUAAGCUCAGAAAUAACUUCCCUGCAGAAGUGUUAAUUGGUACAACACAGAUUAAUGAUGUCACUCGAUAUAUACACACAGAGUUAUUUAGCACAUACACAUUUAUAAAUCAGUAAUAGGUGAUAAUUUCUUACUUGUAGAUUGGAAGGAUUUUCGGAAGAAGAGAAAGAAGAGAAAAGGUCUUCGCAACACCCUUGGCAGGCUUAGACAGCAACAAGUAUGACACAGGGCCAAUAAGCACUGGGACAGUUUCAACUCCAAGCUGCAGCAUUAGACAAGUGAUCGAUAUUAGCAUCUCACAAACUUGAUCUGAUUGAUAGAAAGUUACAAGCAAGUUCAGAAUUCGUUUAAUGAAAUCUCUAUGAAAAAUCUUCAGGGUCCACAAUGUGUUGAAAGUACCCUUUUCAAGUAAUUUAUCUUAAGACUAUUUUGCAAACAGUAUUGCUUUCCUUACAGAUCAAAUAAAUCAAACAACAUAUGAACACAUUUACUGAACCAAGUCUAAGUUCAAAGCUCUAUAAAUAAAUGUCAAUGAAUCUAUAGUAAAUUCUAUUGCAUCCUAAGCUAAAGAUGAGCAUAUCAUAUAAGAAUUUCAAGGUGAACGUAACCCAAUUUCAAUAUAUUGUAGAUUCAGAUAUCAAACGAAAUAAAAUUUGUAAAUAUAGACAGAACUGAGAAUAAACACUCACCCCCUUAGCCUCCUUGUACUCAGUCACAGCCUUGUGGGAAGCGUAGGAGAACUUAACAUCGGGUCCCAAUUCAGGAACAAUGAAAUGACUGCAUCAACACGAAGCCAAACACGCGUCAGCAUUCAGUACAAAACCAUUACACCAUAAAUAACUUGAAAUGCCGCUCUUCCAAGUAGUGAAUACUUACUAGUUGGUGUCGAACCACUUGGUCAUUUCCAUAGCGGGAACAGAGGCGUUUCCUCUGGCCAUGGAGAAGUAAACAUCAAAUCCAAUCUCGCCGCCGUUCCAGUUAUACCUCGGGGGCACGGCACCGAGCAUUGCGGUGGUGUCGAGCACUUGGUCGUAGUAGGAGAAAGUGUUGCUGGGAAUGUAUUUGAUCCCGGCCUGGGACAUCUGUUUCCAGAUGGAGGAUCUGAGAUCAGCGGACACCUUUUGCAAAUCCUCAGCGCUGCUCUUGCCAUCCCAGAAGGAUUCCAACGCGAACUUGAGCUCCCUCUUGGGGCCCAUGCGUGGGUAUCCAACGAUGUGAGAUGCCAUUUUACUGUCAUAAUCACGUCAUCAAUGAAUCGAAAAUCAGUCACUUUCAUUAAAUCAAGAAAAUAUUCAUUCAAAUGGAUGGGUCAUUGCUAUUACUGCUCAAAUCAAAUGAAAUCAAGAACACUUAUCAGAGCAUAAAAUCUUAAAUUAAUUUUUUUAUAAAAAAAUAAAAAACCAGUUGAAACAAGCUGAUAAUAAUCCAAGAGUUUGAGAUGAUUUUUUUCUUUCUGUAAUCACAUGAACAAUUAUGUACUUUCAGUCAUUUUUGAAGGAUUAAAACAAAAAAUUCUACAAAUAGAUUCUGAAAAGAAGAAUCUAAAAAUAGAUUCAAAAACAGUAACACAAGUAGAGUUCAAAUUGUUUUUCGGAAAAGAUUAAUUACAGAUCUGAUUGAUUCACGUUCAGAUCUAGCAAAAUCACGGCAGCCAAACACUAGAUCUAACACUAACAGUCACUCACCAGUCCAUUAGAAAAUGAAAUCAAGUUCAAAAUUCUUUUAAAGUUAAUUCUUUUUUAGAAAAUGACCAGAUUUUAGUUGAGUAUUAGUGAGUUUUUUACAAAAUAAUUUAUUUUUGUUUUUUAGAUCCAAAAGUUCGGAAAUCAAAACCAUGUUCAAUGCUUAUUCAUGAUUAACGGCGUAAAAACGCUACUGCAGAGAAGACAUAACGAAAAUGGGAACCGUACCAAACAGAGAAAGAAGAGCAGAGAAAUUGAGAGUCGAGAGGAGAGAGAGAAGAGAGCGGCGAGUUUGGGGGAGUGCCCUCUCCGUUAUUUAUAGCCAAAAAUCAAAUCUGGUUUGGUGGUUGCCUUUGGCGUGCCAACCUGUAGAUCUGAGAUUUUUCAUCUUAAUUUCUUUCUCUUAUUUAUUUAUUUAUUUAUUAUGAUUUUCAGUGCAGUUCAUAAAAUAUAGAGCUGACGCGCGCUUUUCUGAUGUGGCGCGUGAAUUGGAAAUGCGGUAGGUCUUUGUGGGCCCCACGGCACGGUCAGGACUGAAGGAAAAAUGUGAGAAGUUAUCAUAAUUUCAACAGUGCCAUAAUUAGCAAUUACACCACCAAAUAUUUCUUGAGUUUUUUUUUUUUGAUUGCUUUAAAUGCAGAGUUGUUAUGAAUUGUGUUAAUUGUAGAGUUGUUAUGAUUAGAUUACAUUAUAAUUCGUCACAAUUAUGAUAGGUAUGUACGUAUAUAAUAAUUUAUGAGUAAUGAUAUAACCACAAACUCUUAUACAAACUUAUUUUGUACAAAUUGAUGUGGCAUGAUAAAAUUAGUUGAAUUAAAUAUUACUUGAUCCACAUGAUUUGUUAUUAUUAUUUUAUAUUUUCAUUCAACCAAUGAAUUAAUGACACGUCAGUUUGUACAAGAUAAGUUUGUACAAGAGUUUAUGGUUGUAUCAUCACUCAUAAUUUAUAUAAGAUCUCGAAUAUUUAAAAAAUUUAUAAAUCAUUAUUUUCAUGUACAUUUACCUGGUAGCAAUGACAAUAACAUAAAAUAAACUCCAAACAAGAAUGGAUUAUAUUAUUUAUGUUAUUUUAUAGCUUUUUAAUUGAUUUUUAAAAGGAUUAAUUGUUAAUCAUUACUCUCCAACCGUAAUCACCAUUAAAUAUUUAUUUAAUUUAAUAGUCGGUAGAUCAUAAAUAAGAUUAGAAUAUUUAAUGGACAAUCUAAUUGCUACUACAAUUGUUAUCAUUUUUUUAAGGUAAGGGAUUAGACAAUACUCAAAUUUAUUUUUUAACCCCUUACUCCCUAAAGAUUCGAAUUUAACUAACUAAUUAAAUAAGACUGCUUAAAAACCACUCAACCACAUCUUUUGGGGACCAAUUAAUAUCGAUGUUUAAACUGAGGUUUAUUAUUAAAUUUUUUAAGUUUCAAGUUUCAACCGCUAACAACAUUAUCAUCGAUUAAUGAUAAAUAUAAUAAUAUUUCAUCAAAAAACCAUUUAACACAUCCAUCCAUAUUAAACAUAAGUAAAAAAUUUAUCAUGCAUUUCAAAUAUAUUUUUCAUCCUAAAAGUUAUGGAGAAAAUCUUGAUAUCAAAACUUACAAUGUAAUUAUGGGAUGUAAUUUUGCAUUUGAGGUCAGCACAACUUAAAAAUUACUAUGAAUGAAAAUUUAUAAUAAGCAGACACCACAAAAAAAAAUUAUUUAUAAGUAUUACAAUCAUGCAGUUUUAUUUAAGUAUUUAACCAAGUCAUUCAAUUUCUAAUUAAGACGGUAUAAAUUAGAUUUGGGCUGCCUAAGACCAAAAGUCAAAAAAAAAAAAAGAAUAUUCCUAAUAAGCAGCCUACCGCGGUCACGCGCCUUAAGAAACGCUUGGACUUAGCACACGAUUUUAAUCCAAAAUGUAUAAAAAAGGAAAAAUUUAUGAGGUGUAUAAUUAUCUUGAGUUGUUAUAUUUUGAAGAAACAAUGAAGAAAGUUGGUGGCCGAAGUUGAUCCGGGGCGAAUGGUGGUGGGCCCACGUUGUUGCAUUAUAAUUGGAGUUAUUGUAAUUUUUCUUAUAAUUAAUAAACUCCAUUUUUCAAAGAAAAUAAAUAAAUAAAUACACUCCCGAUUACGAAAAUAUCAUUUCAUGAGUGUCAAAGUUAGAGCUGGCAAAAUUUGACACGACCCGAUUACCUGACACGAACACGACAUAAAUAAAUAAGUAUGGAUCGUCAAAUUUAACACGAUUAUUAAAUGGGUCGGGUCUGGGUCAACACAAUUUUUUUCCGUGUCGGGUUUGGGUUAAAAUUCUUGACCCAUUUACCCGAUCAAUGACCCGAUUAUAUUUUCUAUUUUAAAAUAAUUUACAUAUUCUUAUAAUUAAAACUCAAAUAUUAGAGAUAUUUUUUUUAUUCUUUAAAAUGGUGAAUAUAAACACAGUGUUUUAUUUAUAAAAUUUUACAUACAUUUAGAGCUUCAAUAGUGUAAAUGUGUAAAAAUUAAUAGACAUGUAUAUUUUAUAAUAUUGAUAUAUAAUAUUAUAUAUAUAUAAUUAAAACAUCAAUAGUGUAAAUGUGUAAUAUAUUGGUAGAUAUAUAUAUUUUAUAAUAUCGAUAAAUUAUGUAUGUAUGUAUUUAUGUACAUACGUAUGUAUGUAUUUAUGUAUAUACGUAUGUAUGUAUUUAUGUACAUACGUAUGUAUGAUAGUGUGUAAAUAUUUUAUGUAACUUUUGUUCAAUAUAUAGAUAUUAAACGGGUUAUUGGGUAACCCGAUUGUUUUUCCGUGUCGGGUUUGGGUCUCAAUAUUUUGACACGAUUAUUAAAUGGGUCGGGUUUGGGUCGACCUAAAUUUGACACGACACGACACGAACACGACCCGAUGACCCGUUUUGCCAGCUCUAGUCAAAGUGACCGUCACCUACGCAUCGCGUUUGUUGGGCGGGGUGGGUAAGGUGGGGCGAGGAGUUUGUUUGAUCGUCUGAUUACUUUGAUUUUGAUGAAACGUAUGGACGACGGCGAUGGCUUGCCAGCAAGUGGGUUUAUCAUGAUUUUGAUUGUAUUCGGGGAGAUGCUUAUGUAUAUCCUCAAAACUUCUUGGAAAUGAAAACCGCUGGGGUGGCAAAUCUUGACCAAUAAAGUGUGCGUGAUGUUGCGUUUAUAAAUUUCAAUAAUACUAUUGGCCGAUUGAGAUUAUUUUUAAAAAGUUUAAAAAUAAUUUUUAAAGGUUAAAUGUUAAUUUUAAUAUUGAAUAAAUUUUUAAAAAUUAUUUUUGAUAAAAUCAUUUUAUCCUCCAAUAAAUUUUAAAAAAUAGCGAUACAGUAAUUUUUUAAAAUCUAAUUUUAAUAAUCAAAACUAUUUUUUUAUAUAAUUUUAUAGAUAUCCGCAUAUAUAUAUUAUAAAAAUUCGAAAUCAUUAUUAUUAAUUAGGAAAUAAAAUCAUUAACUUUUAAGAAAUUAUUAUUAUUACCAAUUAUACUGACAUAACAAAAUAAAAAAUUAAUUAAUAUUAUAAAUAUUUAUUUCAGUUAUCAACUAUUAUAUAUACACAAUAAAAAAUAUUUUAUAUACAUAUUUAUAAAUGUAUAAAUAAUUUUUAUUCAAUAUUAUAUCGAAUUAAUCAUUUACAUUCUUGCAACAAGUUAACAAUAAAAUUUACCAAACACAUACGAUUGUUUUUAAAACUCAUAUUAUUUUUUUAAAAAAAAAUUACUAAACCUUUAACUGAUUCUCUUACAACUGAUUAUUUCUACAGUACAAUUAACAACAAUUAUUUUAAAAACUAUAACAUUUUCAAACUAGCCCCAUGACAAUAUUGUUAUUGUUGUUUUUCUUACUCUUAUCAAUAAAACUACGUUGCACAUAAGUGCAUAAAAAUUCACACAAAAUAAACUAUUUAACUUUAGGGUAUUAAUUGAAAAAAAAAAUCAGAUUAAGGUGAAUAAAUAUCAGAAAAUAACAAAUAGAUAAACUCUCACACUCUUUAAAAAAAUUAAUUUUAUAAUUUUAUUUAAAACCAACAGAUAUUACCAAACUUAACGGAUCAAUGUUCCAAUGUUUUCUUUUUAAUUUCAAAACCAACAGAUAUUCUUUGUUCAUUAUAUGACCUCCAAACAAAUAAUUUCAUUAAUAAAAUAAUAAUGAAAAGUAUCGUGGUGAGUACAGAGUAAUUCGGUGGCUAAUAAAAGUCUCUAUUUUUCGUCUCUGUUUUUCAUUUUAACUCUUGGGGUUGGUGCCACUUCGGCCUUGGUCGGAGUGGUGGGCUGCUGCCCUCACAAGUAUUGUGAGGACAGUGGUUCAAGCCCCCACAAAUAUUUUUGUGGGGGCUAACGUACUUAUUUAUUUAAUAUUUCAAAAAUUUCUUCUCCCUCGUGCAAUACGAGUGGAGUAUGGACAUCCCUCCUCUAUAAGGGAUUAUUUGUCUGGGCAUGUACUUCACAGAAUUCAAUGUAAUAAUAUAAGUCUCAAUCAUAUAUUUUUGAUUGUAAAUAUCAAUAUAAUAUAUCUGCUAUAAUAGCAGUUGUAAAUAUCUGUGUAAUGCAAUAAUAUGAUAAUUAAUCAUUAUUCAAAAAAAAAACUCUUGGGGUUGGUAGGCUCGUGAAUGGUCCACGUAACCUCUGGACGUAACACUCAAACAAAGACAGCACAAGGCACAUGAAAAAUGCCUAAAAACCGUAAAACCGUGACGUGUUCAACAUAUUAAUAAAUUUAUACUGUGUUUUCUUUUUUUUUUUAAUACUGUGUUGAUAAAGCACUUACGAUGGAACGACCAAUUCUAUUACUUGCAAAACUAAUUAAUAUUUCACUCUAUCAUCUAACUAAUGGAAGGCCAUCUUAAUUGAGGUUGCAAUAGUUAGAAAGUAGCGGGAAGGGUGGCCAAUGCUCCAUAUUAAUUUGCAUCAAUCCCUUUCUGGUGAAGAAGUACGGGUGAAGUAGAGGUCAAAGUUAGAAGAUGAAGGGUGUGUUUGGGAAUUGAGAGUGAGGUGCUGUAGUUUUUUAGCUGCAGUUGCUGUGAAAUAAAAGUUAUAACUGUGGAAUAGAAGUUGAGAAAAAAAAUUUGUUAAGCUGCCAAAGCCCAGUUACAAAUGUUACCAAACACCUUAGUAGCUAGGCUUUGGCAGCCCAUCUACCCCAUCACACUCCCAAACGGAUUAGAAGGGGACCGGGAUUGCUUUGUCAUAUUUGAAAAUGAUUUUGAAAAAAUAAAAAUUAAGUUCAGAAUUUGGUAAAUUCCUUUAAAAUUUCUUUUAGCAAAAUCACUCUCUCCUUUAGAUUUUGAAAAGUAUGGAAUGAGUAGUUUUUUAAAAUUUAAUUUUGAAAUUCGGAUUCAUAUUUAAUAUAAUACCAUAUAUCAUAACAUGUAUUAUAAAAAUCUAAAAUUAUCCUUAUUCAAUCAAUUAAGAAGUAAAAUCUUACAUUUAAAGAUAUUAUCAUUAUCAAUUAUAUUUAGAUAAUAAAAAAUACAAUUAAUAAAAUAAAAAUAUUUAUUUUAGUUAUCAAUUAUUAUAUAUAUACAUAAAAUGUAAUUAUAUAAACAUAUUUAUAAAUGUAUGUGUAAAUUAAAUUUGUAGAUUUAUGUUUAUAUAGAUCAUUUGCAUUCUUAUCACAUUUUAAAAGUGAGAUUUAUUAAAUAUAUAUAUGAUUAUUUUUAAAAUUUACAGCACUUUUUAAAACAAAAGUAUCAAAAGUUUAAUUGAUUCCUUAUUUUUACUGUACAACUAACAGUAAGAUGUGUUUGGUUCAAGUAUAAAAUGAUGGGAUUGGACAAUUUUAAGAUUAAAUAAUCCUAAUGCAAUGUUUGGUACCAAAAAUAAUUGUGGGAUAAAAAUAGUGGACCCCACCAUUUAAUCCAACACAAUGUCAAAAUUUUAUCACAAAGGGGGGUGUGGGAUAAGCUAAAACUUAAACGUAGGAUAACAAAAAAAAAGCCCAAAAUUUUAUACAACACAGUGAUUUUUUUUUUUUUUUGAGUAUGUCAUCAUCCAAUGAUAGUAUAUAUGCCAGAACACUCUUUUGACGUUAAUGAUAUGUAAUAUUUUCAUAUAUACAGCUAGUGACAUUGUUAUGUAAUUUCUUUUUCAUUUAUAGAUUUAUAUUAUUAUUAUAUUUGUUGAUGAUAUUCUUGUUAUGUUUAUAAUUAUAUUAUUUAGUAAUUUAUAAGUUUAAAAACUAUAACAUGUUAAAUAUAAGAAAAACUUUAAGCGAAGAUUUUGUAUUUUUUAACAAAUUUACCAAUAAUUUUUUAUUUAAGUUAGAUUAUAUUCCAUGUCAUUUUAAAAUAAAUCUAAGAUAAUUUUGAUAAAUUAAUAAAUAAGACAUAUUAUUAGUUACUAACCAAUUUCAUGGCAUACCAAACAUGAGAUAUGAUUAUUUACAGUCUAAUCCAACAUUGCACCAAACGUAAUAGAGUAUUAUAUAUAAUCCAAUGUUAUCAAAUCCAAUCAUAUCUUAUCCAAUCCGAUCCGAUCCAGUCUAAUCCAAUUUGACAUACCAAACAAGCCCUAAUUAUGUUAAAAACUACAUCAUUACCAAACUGACCCUUAAUACAAUCUCAUACAUACAUACAUAUAUAUAUAUAUAUUAAAAAUUAAAAAUUAUCUUUAUUUAGUUAGGAAAUAAAACCAUUAUAUUUAAAUAGAUUAAUAUUAUUACUAAUUAUAUUCAGAUAACAAAAUUAAUAAAAUAAAAAUAUUUGUUUGAUUUAUCAAUUAUUAUACACACAUAUUUAUAAAUGCAUGCGUAAAUAAAAUUUUAUAGAUUUAUGUCUAUUUAAAUCAUUUGCAUUCUUAUAACAUUUUAAAAAAAGAAAAGAAAAGUGAUUUACCAAAUACAUGUAAUUGUUCUUCAAACUUACAACACUUUUAAAAUAGAAUUUAAUAAAUGUUUAAUUAAUUUUUUCACAGCUGAUUAUUUUUAUGGUAUAACUAACAAUAAUCUAUAAACUUAUGGUAAAUAUUUGUGUGAAUGUUGGUCCAUGUAAAGAAGUAAAAACAACGCAUAUAUCAAGCAAUAAGAUAUCAAAACUCUUAGUAAAAUACAUAUACUAAUGAAAGAAUGACAGCAAUGCAAUAAAUAAGAUUAUAAUAUAAAUUAUUAAAAUUGUAUAUUAAAAAUUGAUGUAUGAAAUUCUUUUUAUUUUAGUGAUAGAUAAUGUGAUAUAUUUGAAUAAUUUGAUUAAAUGAAAAGAAAAAUAACAAGUAUGGUUGUGGAGGAAAUAAACCAUUGAACUGUGGAAUGUUAUUAAUUAUUGCUAUUUCAUUAUGUAACGUCCUGAUAAUAAGUACAGUGUUAUAGUAUAUUGAUGGGUGGUGAUAUUGUCACCCCUUAAAUUGUGUAAAGUCAACCUCAUUUACAAAUUUUUUGAUAUAAAUUAAAAAGUACAUUAGUUUUAAUAAAUUAUAUAUUUAUUGAAUAAACUAGAACCGUUAGGGAGCUGUAAUGUUAGCACUGUUUUAACUUAUUAUAAAAAAAAAAGUUAUGAUUUGAUCAUAACUCUAAUUUAGAAAAGAAAAAAGAGUUGAAUUGCUAACAUACUUAAAAAUAAAAUAAAAACAUUAUUAUUAGAUGAAAAAUUGUAAAACUUAAGGGGGCAUUUGCAAGUCCGCCACUACUCAAUAGAGCAUUAUUCAGUACUCGUUAAUAUAUCUCGAACUUUUAGGUUUUUUUAAUAUAUUUUUAAUACAUUUUCUAGAACAUUUAGAUAAAAAGAGUCAGUACUCCAAUUGAGUUGUGAAUAAACAUUUAGAUAAAAAGAGUCAAUACUCCAAUUGAGUUGUGAAUAAACUCAUGUUAAAAAAAAAAAAACUCAUUUUCACACUUGAAACGAUUAGUAAAUGGGUGAUACGAAUUUAACUUGGUCAAUAAUAUAUACCAUCUUAAGUUAACUUCAACUCAUUGAUCUUCUAUAGGGUUGAUCAGCCUGCCACAAGGCCCACAAAUUAUCACCUCUAAUGCUUUUGCAACAGUCGUUAUAAAUGCUGACAAAAUGAAACUUCUAUAUAUUUUGGUUUUUUUUUAUUUCUAUGAAAUAUAAGGCCCUUAUGGCAAAUUUCCAUCCAGCGUGAAAUUUGCUAGUUUGGCCUUGGUACUGUGGCACAUGCGUCAUGCAUGCGUGGCUGAGAUGCUUCUAAAACUAAUAAAUUAUGAAGAAUUCCAAAUUCGUACCAAAAAUAAGAGAAUAGGAGCUUGUCAUAGGUGUCCGCGGAUCGGAUUUUAUGGGUUAAACAUUAAUUCAUAUUUGAUUCGUGAUUUUGUAGAUUAUAAAUUUUUAAUUUAAUUCAAUUUAUGGAUUAGUGAAACUCAAUACAAAUUCAAUCCAUAUAUAUGCAAAUUAGAUGCGGAUUUAACCCAAUGCAUAUUCAAUCCAUCAUUUGGCGGAUUGAUUUGCAAAUUAAAAGUUUUUAAUUUUGUCCAAUCUAAAAAGUAAUUAAAUUAAAAAAAUCUAAUAUAUAAAUAAUUGAUUAAAUAAAAAAAUCUAAUGUAAAAAUAAUUUUACUACCAAUUAAAUUCAAAAUUGAACAAGAUUUAAAUAAAUUUAGAAUAAUACAUUCAAAAUUUUAAAAUAUAACACACCGAAAAAAAAAUUCAUUUAUUUAGAUCAAUACAUGAAAAUUAACUAAAAUUAUGAAUUUAAAUGUUGAAACUUGAAAGCUUGGAUGUAACAGGAAGAAUUUAAGAAACUUGAAGAGCUUGAAAAGAAAGUAAGAAAUUAAGUUUAAUUACCUCAAGUGGUGAAGUGAAACAGUGAUUGGCUUGUGCGUGCGGUGGGAUAGAGAUUUGGUGUUAUAUGUCAAAAUAUUUUGUUUGGCUUGGGGUUUUUGUUUUGCUUUAGAAAUUUUAAUGUUUAGGAAACUAUAUUUGCUUAUUUAAUUAUUUCUUAUUUUAUAUUGUUAUCGAAUAAAAUAUAAUAUUUUGUUAAUUUAGCUAUAAUUUUAUGCUGAAUAUAUUUAUUUAAAACGAUUUUAUUAAAUAAAUGUGCAUAUUUAACGAAGGUCUCUGAAAUUUCAACCUGCCUGCUAAUGAUAGCCAAUACGGCACGACCCACCAAAUGUCGGCCCACGCGGGCUUGUGGGCCAUGACGACUUUUUUUGUAAGGGCCCGGCACGGCCCACGGCACGAGUCCGUGCCCAAAAAAAGCCCACCUACCUUUUUUUUUUUUGUCCACAUGUUCAGCGUGCCUAAAAAAACCCACGUGCCUGACGUGCUUUUUUAAGCCCACCAGCCUAAUAGUAACAACAACAACAACAAUAAUAAUAAUUUCAUAGAAAUAAUUAAUGAAAAAUAAAAUAACAAUUCUAGAAUAACAAUUACAUCUAAUUUUAUUUGAACAACUAAUAUUAUAAUUGCACAUAAACUCUAUUGAAUGAAAAUGUAAUUUUUAAUUUAUUAUAAAAAUAUUUUGUUCAUAAUUUUAUUUUUUUGUGCGUAAAUAUGAAAAAUAUUUCAUUCACAAAUGAAACAUAUCUCCAUUAACUAUUAACUAAGUUAUGAUUUCAUAAAUGAAAUAUUAAUGUCGUAAAAUUUUUUAUUUAUCAUUUAUAAAAUCAUGAUAUUUAUUUAUCCAUUUAAUAAAUUAUAAACAUAAAAAAAUUAGAAUACUUAUUUAAACUAGGACUUAAAUUAAUUUUAAAAAGCCUAUACUAAAAAAAUAUAUUAAAAUUUUUAAUUUCAAGGUAUUUAUAAAAUCAUGAUAUUUUAUAUUUAUUUUUCAUUAAAAAAUUUUAUUUUGAUAUACUUUGGCCCACGUGCUAUUGGUGGCCCACGGGCCGCGUGCUUAGCCCACCAAUAAAGUGUGCUUAUUACAUGCCUUUUCGCGUGCCGUGUUUUGCCCCAUCUCUAAUCAUACCGUGCUUUUAAGGCCUGCGUGCCUAAAAUUCUAGGCCCGCAUGCCGUGCCGUGCCGUGCCGUGCCUCGUGCCGCCUGGCCCAUUGGCCAUCCCUACUGCCCGCCAACCACAUUUGUCCAAGAUCAAUUUGUAGGAAAAAAAUUUGAAAAUCAAUAAUUUAUUUAAUUAAUUGUUAAUGUAGGCAUUUGAAUCCCCACAAAAUCUGGGUGUCAGUUCUAGACUUCUGGUGAUAUAUUUUUCUAAUUAAGGAAUAAAAUAUUUUUGUCAUUUUUUUAAUAUUUUAAUUUACCAGGCAUAUCAACUAAUUAAUUUUUCUACUUAGACUAUUAAUUCAUUACGUGCGCAAUCUGUAGCCCGGCGCUCCAAUCCCAUGCAUGUUACACACAACUCAAUCAUUAUUUAUUUAUUUAUUUAUUUUGACCAACAACUCAAUGUUUUUUAUAGAGCUGUCAAAAUUUGACACGACCCGAUUACCCGACACGAACACGACAUAAAUAAAUGGGUAUGGGUCGUCAAAUUUAACACGAUUAUUAAAUGGGUCGGGUCCGGGUCAACACGAUUUUUUUCCGUGUCGGGUUUUGGGUUAAAAUUCUUGACCCAUUUACCCGAUCAAUGACCCGAUUAUAUUUUCUAUUUUAAAAUAAUUUACAUAUUCUUAUAAUUAAAACUCAAAUAUUAGAGAUGAUUUUUUUUUAUUCUUUAAAAUGGUGAAUAUAAACACAGUGUUUUAUUUAUAAAAUUUUACAUACAUUUAGAGCUUCAAUAGUGUAAAUGUGUAAAAAUUGAUAGACAUGUAUAUUUUAUAAUAUUGAUAUAUAAUAUUAUAUAUAUAUAUAAAAUUAAAACCUCAAUAGUGUAAAUAUGUAAUAUAUUGGUAGAUAUAUAUAUUUUAUAAUAUCGAUAAAUUAUGUAUGUAUGUAUUUAUGUACAUACGUAUGUAUGAUAGUGUGGAAAUAUUUUAUGUAACUUUUGUUCAAUAUAUAGAUAUUAAACGGGUUAUUGGGUAACCCGAUUAUUUUUCCGUGUCGGGUUUGGGUCUCAAUAUUUUGACACGAUUAUUAAAUGGGUCGGGUUUGGGUCGACCUAAAUUUGACACGACACGAAACUGACACGACAUGAACACGACCCGAUGACCCGUUUUGCCAGCUCUAGUUUUUUAAUAUGAAAAGGUAUUGGUUAGCUUUGUCUUUAGUUUUUUCAACUUAUAAUAAGUUUGUAUUAAGGCUCCCUUUGGUACAGAUUUUCAAGUAAAACUUAUUUAGGGUUAUUUUUAGGGACCUCCCCUGAGGUUUGGUGUAUUAACAAUCUGAUAGAAAGUAUUCACGUAAUUACAAAGACCUCCCCUGACAUUUGUAUUAUGUUAAGUGGACUGUUAUUGACUAUUGAAAAUCCAAAAAUACCCUUCCUGCCAAAAUAUUUCUUUAUUCACUGAUGAACUGAUGGGUAAUUCGUGCCAAAAUCACAAAUUACUUAAGAAGAUGAAAAUAUCCAUUGGAUAAAAAAAAUGAAAUUGCUUAAUAAAAAAAUUGACAUUGCAUAAUAAUAAAAAAAAUUGAAAUAAUGUGCGGCGGCAUAGCUGCAUCUUGCAUGCAUAUUAUUAUUGUGAUUUUUUUAUUACAAACUCCUUCAUAACUAAUACAUGCCACAAGAGCAGAGCUAUUAAAAGAAAUGAUUUUCAUAUUGUAAACUUGAUAGUACAGGUGUUGGCACCGACCAUAAAACCCUUAUGAUACCAAUCUUUGCUCCAUCCAUAUUUAAAUCCAGAUCAAGUAAAUAUUAAAUUGGAUUUCAGGUCCUGAAAAUCCUACUCUAUAAUUGAUAUCUUCGAGUUUUGUUGGUGCCUCAAACCUGGAUCUAGAGCAUCAUCUCUGUCAUACUCGGAACACCUAAACUAAUGGACUUGCUGCAGCUGCUUAUUCUUCUUCUGAAAUGAUGCACGCAUAUAGAUUACAGACUUUGAAAUAAGAAAUACAAUAAACAACAUGUAAUCGAACUUAAGAUUUCGGCACACUUGUUUGAAAAUUAGAAUCAAACAAGGAAAAUGGCAAGUCAAUAUUUUUUAAUCUAGAAAAAGGGAAAUUUCAAAGUUUAUCACAUGCCAAAUUCAUAGUCUUGCAUCCACUAUUUUCUAGUUUGAAUAACAAACAAAAGCCUUAGACAAAAACACAGAGAACAUCUCACAUGGGAGCAAAAAUUGUGUGUAGAACAAUAUACUUAAGUUACAUGUGAUUACAAUCACAUUAUUUAGCAAAUACAAAAUUACCUUCUCAAAAAAAAAAAAAAAAAAACAACACCACCAAAUUAUUGAAGGUAUUACAACAAUAAGGCAAAAGAACACCAAAGGCAUGCACAAACCGAAACUAACACACAACUCAAUUAGUGUCAUGACCCCAAACUGAACAAUCAUAUAAGCCAUUGUGGGCUCUCUAAAAGAUUAUCACAUUAUAAGCAAACAGAAACCUAUAUUUGAUGAACUACAUCUAGUACUUACACAACUCUUAAAUCAUUAGGAAAUUGCUCUUAUCAGUCAUUACCCAAUAGUUUUUUUCAACUCAACACUAACAACCCCAAAGAGAAACAACAUCCAGCACCAUUUUCAUUAAUUAAAACAGACCCAUUGUUAUUUUUAAUCAAUAAAAUAACAACAAUAUCGUGUAAGCCACUGAUUCAAGCAUUCAAGCUGUGUUUUCGAAGACUGACCUCUUCUUGCUAUCUAAUUCCAGUCACGAUAGACGCUAGAUGCCGGCAAUACUCGCUUCUUGGAAGCUCUGGACCACCGCACGACGUCAUCUUGUGCAGUAGAUGAAAAUAAAUCAAUGAUUUCAGAAAUUAUUUGUGAGUUGCAGACGCUUCUUCUCCAUGGAUGAAAAUGAUGGUGGGUUUUGUUCAAGUGUAAGCUGUGUUUACGAGGAGAAGUACACUUUGUGAAAAAAUCAUUUUCUUUCAUCUACUGGAUAAUGACUUUGGACUGGGUAAUGGUGUGUUUAAGUCUCUAUUUCACGGACAUUGAAGCAUAUUUUGCUUGAAUUUUGAUUUUGUUUAAAUUUCAAGUUUACUUUUACUUGUUUACCCUUUUAUACUGACGCUUAUGUAUUUUUAUACUAACGUUAAGGGAGGUCUUUGUAAUUAUAUGAAUACUUUCUAUCAGACUGUUAAUACAACAAACCUCAGGGGAGGUCCCUAAAAAUAACCCAACUUAUUUAAAUAGAACUUUUACAAAAAAAAAUUUAGUUAUUUGGUUGUCAAUAAACUUUUCAAGUAUACUUUGUUUGGUACAGCUUUUCAAGUAAAACUUAUUUAAGUAGAGCUUUUACAAAAAAAAAAAAAUUAGUUGUUUGGUUGUCAAUAAAAAUUUUUAUUAAAAAAAAUAUGAAAUUACUUUAUUAGUCAAGUUUUUUUAAAGUUAUGCUAUGAAAAGAAUAAAAUAAGAUUGUCAAAUAAAUAGAAAAUAUUUUAAAUAUUUUAACAUUUAAAAAAACUUUUUAACCUUUAUUUUCAAAAAUCUAAAAUUUAAACUUUUACUAGUAAAGGCAAAAUAAUUUAUUUAAACUUCAAAAGCUUUAUUAGAAAAAUAAUCAAACAAUAACAAAAAUUAUUAUAAAAGCUUAUCGAAUUAAAUAAGUACUUAUAGUUAUUAAAGAAGUUAUAUCUAACAGACACUAAUGCCGAAAGCCCCUUCUAAUUGUGGGUGUAAAAGUUUGAAUUAUGCAUACGGUUAAGGAGUUAAGGUGUGUUUGGCAACUGCAUUAAGUGGAAAUUUUUAUUUUGUUUCGAAUAAAAAUACAGCAAGCUCGUGUUCGGCUCAAAAUAAUGGAACGUUUAAUUUGCAACCGUCGGCGGACGAAGCACACCGUUCACGGCCCUUCGUAUAAAAUUGCAUAUGUAAACGUAAAUAGGUCCGGAUUCAGAUUCGUUGCUGUAGAGAGUGGCACGCACGAUCGGGCUGCUGUCGGUGGUAGGUUGGCAUUGGAAUUCUCAUCACGCGCUUCCCCAGGCGCCUACUUAUGGCAAAUUGACACGUGACGCGUGUGGAUUGAAUGGACAGAGUCCCGGGCAGUGUGUCCAAAGCUGCCAACCGUGCUCUGAUUUUUGUCAUCCAUAAUGGCUAACGACUAACGAGGGAGAUUUCCGGGCAGAAAGAAAUUGUUGUCGUUUCUGAAGGGGAAAAAAAAGUUAUUUAAUUUGUUGUUGAAGACAAAAUGAAGAUCUAAAUAAAUAAUGGCUAAUUUUGAGUGUAAAGCAACGGUAAAUGCAUUAUUAAAUUAGAUUUAGGGUCUGAUUGAGAUUAUUUUUAGAUUUAAAAUUAAUUUUGAAAAGUUAAAAUUAAUUUUGAUGUUUAUUAAUUUUUAUUAAAAAUUAUUUUUGUCAAAAUCUCUCAUCCUCCAGCAUAUUAUAAAAAAUAAGGAAGAAAUAAUUUUUUAAAAUUUAAUUUUAAGAAUCAGUUUUAUACUUAAUAUAAUCCACAUAUAUCCUCGUAAAUAUUAUAAAAAUUUAAAAUUAUUCUUAUUUAUUUAGGAUAUAAAAUUAUUAAAUUCAAACAUAUUAUUAUUAUUAUUAUUAUUGUUAUUAUUAUUAUUAUUAUUAUAAAUUCACACACGCACACACAUACUUAUAAAUUUAUAAAUAAACUUUAUUUAACAUUUUGUUCACUUAAAUCAUUUAUAUUCUUAUAGCAGUUUAACAUUAUGAUUUACCAAACACAGAUAAUUAUUUUUAAAAUCCAUAAUAUUUUUUAAAAUAAAUUUUAAUAAAUGUUUAACUUAUUAUUCUGACAACUGAUUUUUUUUGUAAGGUAUAACCAUUAAUAAUAAAUAUUUUAAAAGUUACAGUAUCCCCAAAUUGGCCCUUACUAAUACUCUGCGUUGCCAACUAAAUACUAAUUGUAACAUUAAACAUCUGGAAUAUUUUUCUCUAACGAAACAACACAAUUAAUUUCCCUCUAAAAAAGAAAAAGAAAAAGAAAAAAUAAACUACCAACCCCACCCCUUUAGACAGCAGAGUUUUAGCUGAGGCGGCUUGCUUGCAUAAGCAUUAAGGCUGCUCUUCACCAACCAUUGAACAUUCUUUCCAUUUGAUUGUUACACUUUACUUCGCCAUCUCAUGUCCAUGUACAUUGUUUUGAAAUGAAGACUUUGCGUACAACUAAUCUUUUUCAAUUCAUAAUAAAAACUCUUUUAAUUAGUUAAUAGCUAUAGCUUCCAAUUGAGACUAUAUAUAAAAAUCCAUAUUGACUGACCAAACCAAUAAUUUUUAAUUGGCUUGAGCAUUGUCUUACUUACUUCAAAAUCGUCACUCUCUUUGAAAAGAACAUGAGAGAGUUCACCUCCAUCUCAACCCUUAACCCUAUAUCUCAGUCAAGAGAUUAUUCAUGGAAAAUUCAGAAAAAAGAAAUGUUGCAAUAUUUACGAAACUCACGUCACGUGAGGUAAGAUAAAUUAUUCCUUUCUGCUUUAAUUCAUGUACAUAAUCAUGAGAAUAACUUUAAUUAUAGUUUAUUUCUCCGUUUUAAGAUUUUUCCUUUUUUUUUUUUAAUUAAUUAAUUAUAGUUCAUUCAUUAAUCCCAUAAGAAAUUAACACCUUUGCCGGUAAAGUCACACAUACAACAAUAUUUUAGAACAAAAGGGAAGAUCAUGCACGAUCAUGAUGUUUUAUUAUAUCUCUAGCAAUAUAAUUAUCUUAUAAUUAAUUAAAAACAAAACAGGUAAUUAAGCCAAAGUGGAUGGCAUGCAUCAAUCAUCAUGCAGAACACCUCCCCUUGUUUUAAAUAUAAAUAAAAGAAAUUUGUGCCCAGAAGACUUAAUUAAUACUUCUCGUUUCUGAAGUGCUCACAUGAUAUAUAGUCGGACGCAUUAUAUUUAAUUUCAUGAAUUAAUCGUACGGUUGUAUUUUGAGAGAGAGAGAGAGAGAGAGAGUGACUGAGUAAGAUAUGGCUUAAUUUAACCAAAUCUACGUAUAAAAUUUUAAAAUGAAUUUUUGAGUUUUAACUUAGGAAUUGUCUAUGAAUAAAAGUGUUAAUCAAAUAUUUCGUGUAAAAACAGUCAGCUGUAACAUUUUCGGUUGCUUUAACAAAACUGUAUAUUUCUGUAAUUUCCUAUAUGGGCCAAAAGGAACAUUUUUCUCAGAAAUUAAAAACUUAUGGUGAAAAAGAUAAGAAAACCAACAGGUUCAAAGGUGCGAGUAAACUGGGCUCUGGUGCGCCCAACUCCCUCUUUUGAUUUUGAGACUCUAUUGACCAUUGAGUUUGAGGCCCCAACGGCCCAGUUUAAAACUGUUAUGAAAAGAAAAAAAAUAUAACUAUAAAAUUAAAAUUAAUAAUGUUUGAUAAAUAUAAUUUUUAAAUAAUAAUUUGACAAAAAUAAUAUAGGGUCUUGUGUAUAUUUUUAUUUGGCAUUUCAAUUAAUCUGCUUAUAUAUAUAUAUAUAUAAGUUAAUCUAUAUUUCUUGCAAGAAGAUAGUAUUUCUUUAAUUAAAGUCAUAACUAAUAUAUAAAUUAUCAACUAACCAUCAAACAUUUAUCUCAUUUUAUCUCCACCACGAUCAUCACCAUUCAUCCUGUCACGAUCUUUAUGUAACUACAAUUAUUUUUUCUUUAAUAAUGUCAACCCACCAACCCCAUAACAAUAUCUCCAAACAUCUCAUCUCAAAAUUCCUAAUAACAUAAGUGUUUAUGUAUGAAAGAAAAUGUGAAAUAUAUAAUCAAAAAGUAGUUUAAUAAUAUAAUGUUUAAAAAUUAUGGUAAAAAUAAGUGAGAGUUUGGCAUGGCAAGUUAAUAAAAAGAUAAAAGCUCGGACACUUGAUGCAUCAAAGUAGCAAUGUCUGUCCAUCAUUAUCAUCAUGCGGGUUUAGGUGCUUCUCAUGAUAGCAUUAGCUGGUAAGACCAUCAUGCAUCGUACUUUCAUUGUUAUACAUUUUGAAGGUAAGAAUGGUUAUGUUACGUCCCUCCGAUUAGGUGUAUUUUUCUUCUUCUUCUUCUUCUUUUUCUUCUUCUUGUACGUAAUAAUUUCUCUUUCUUCCAUGAAGAUUUCUUUCUCUCUUUCUUUUUUUUUUUUUUAUUAUAAAUAAAAUGAUAAGAACUAAUUUCCUUACUAAUUGGUAGGGUCGUUUAAUGGUUCAGAUCCAUUAGAUUUUGUCAAAUUCAAGUCCAAUCCAUCAUAUAUUCCAUUUUAUAUUCCGGAUCCGAUCACUAAUAGAAAUCCAUUAUAAUUUAAAACAAUAAAACGUCGAAUCCAAUUUAAUUCGAUAUGAUCAAUCCAAUUAAAAUAAAAAUUUACAAAUAAAAAUCAUUAGUUGCUCUCUCCAGUUAUAAUUCUUAACAAUUAAAAAAAAUACAAAAUAUCAACUCCUUUAAUAUUUCAUGAUUCAUGUACUUUAUUAUCAUAUGGUUGGAAAAAAAAGUUGAAAUUUGAAUAUUAAAAGCAAAUGUUGGUUGCGACCUGCUGUUUGUAUUCUAUAUUGUUAUAGUAUAUUUAUAGUUAUUUUUUUAGCAAGUUAAAUAUAAAAGUGACAUAUAGUUUUUUUUUAUAAAAAAAAAUAAAUAAAGAAAAUAAAAAAUUAAUUGGUUGGAUUGGUUUAUAUUGGAUUUGAACAUAUAGAUCCAUAGACCAAUCUAAUAACAUUAUAUUUUUUAUUUUGCAAUCUUAUCCAAUCCAAUCAAAAUGUCAAUAUGACAAAAGUUGGAUUGGUUUUGAUCAGAUCGAUUGGUUUGAUUGGAUUGAAUUGAAUUAGAUCUUGAACAUCCUACCAAUUAGACUUUCCGUGAUUUUUUUUUUUCCAAAUUUAAUAAAGAGACUUCCCAUGAAUGUUAAAUGCAGUUUUAUUGAUGAAUUCUGCAAUUUUAAGAAAUGUUUGAUACACGAAUAAUGCAUCUCAUCAACCAAGUAACUGCGUCCCCUGCAGCAGCCGCGGCUUCAACUGGAAUACUGCAGCCACACCGGUCUUGAGACUCAACAUUCGGCCGAAACUCAAGCAAAAGUUGAACAAUAUCAGGCCUGCUUUGAGCUAUAGCAAUAUGAAGCAAUGUUUGUCCCUGCGCACCAGCAGAAUCAGCUGGGUGGGUUCCAAGCAGGGUCACUCUGUUCAAGAACCUCUCUUAUCUCAUCCAUUUCACCAUCCUUAACUAGCUGAACCACAACAUGGGACCCAACAAACAUGAUCUUGAUUCCUAUUGAUGAACGCUGGCUUCUUCCUUCUUGUGAACCAGUCACCAGGAACCGAAUCAAGCAUCAAUGUUGCAUCUUUAAUUGCAGCUGCAGGAACGACAACGCUAUGCAAGAGGAAGGAAUCAUCACAGUGAGGGAAAGUAUGAAGGAGAACUGAUCCUGGAGGAAGAUGAUACGCAAUCUCUAUGCUUACUGUUCCGAGUGGUUGCAUUGACCUGAAUAGUUCGAUCUAUUUCUCGUGUAUCUACUUGCGCUGCACUUUCACUCGAAGAACCUACAAAAUUAUUCAUAACCCGGCAUAAAAAAGACGUAAAGUUUUCAGCGCGAGCAUGGUAACUUCAAAACCCGUUUCAUACCUAUCAUAUUUCAUUCGUCCCGCACCCUCAUUUAAAAGACUAGAGCUUAUAAAAACUAGAAGUACCUUACCCAGAACAUAAAAGCAGACAAAACCCAGUCGAGUAUAAAUAUAACGUUGAAUAACACCUACCAUUUACCAUUUCAUUCAAGAACACCACACAAUUAACGAAACCAACAUCGGUAUGUUUUCAGCCGUUGUACUUUCAACUUAAUUUUGAAAGCGCGGCAGCUAAAGCCUAAACUGUUGUUUGAUAAAAGUCCACCCACUGACUGCUACCUGGCGGCUACCGAUUCCAUUCAAUAGCAGUCAUAAAAUAAAAAGUACAAAACAAACCUAUGUACAAAAAAGGCAAUGAAGCAGCCAUGGAUUCAGUUAUUUGCAUGUUUGGGAUUGUGGUUGAUUCCAAAUUGAGAAUAUACUGCGAAAUUAUGUUUGAUAAGCAUUUAUCUGAUGAUUGCUACUUUAUUGAGUGCCUGUUUGGUAUGGCUUAUUUAAAAGCCAUAAGUGCUUAUUUAAUCGUAUAAGCACUUUUUUAAAAUUUUUAUGGUGUUUGGUUAUUUUUUUAGUAGAGUUUUUUUAGCUUAAAUAAGCUAAUUUACCUCUACUAGCAAAAGCCCAAAAUUUGAGCUUUUGGGAGUAGAGGUUAAAGAGCUUAUCUAAAAAAUAUAUAAUAAAAAAAAUAUCAUACAGUUUAAUGAUUCAAAAGUGUUUUUUUUAUUGACAACCAAACACCCAAUGACUUUUUGUCCAAAAACUCUAUUGGUAUAAGCUCUAUUGUUAUAAGCUCUAUUUAAUAAGCUGUACCAAACGGAGCCUGAGUCUUCAAAGAAAAACUCAAUCAACUAAUGCUCGAUUUUUUUUUUUAAAUGACAAAUCAAAAAGUAUUUUGGAGUAGAUUCUCAAAAGAGUGAUUAUUUGAUAAUCCACCAUAAUCCCACUUAGUUAUCAGAAAUAAAUUAAAAUCCGACGAAUGUUACUUAAGCCAAACAGCAUUAUUUUAUUUUGACCACAAGGACCACAACCCUCAAGCUGUCAAGCAACCGUUACCGUUAACGACCAAUCUUUCACCUCUCCGAAUCUUUGCAAGUCACUAUCAAGCAACCGUUACUAAUAUUUAAUCAAUUAUUAGGAUUAUUGGAUUUCUCAAAUACCUUAUGUACUUUGGUUCACUUUCUACUAAAAUAAAUAUUACAGGAGCUUUCAAAGUCUAGGCUAAGGUUGUUGUAAACAUAGAGAGAUUCAGAGAUAUAACAGCUUGUAAUUACAUACCACAAAGCAUAACUUUGUUCGAAUGAUAAUGAUCAUAAUCCAGAUUAUAGACGUAGAGAGAGGAGAAGUCGUACUUGAGGGGCAAAACGCGGCGUUUUGGCUCGUGGAUGAGGUGCUGCUCCUGAUCGUCGUAGAUUGAAGGGAGGAGAGGUCGGUCGAGGAAGUUUAGGAGACGGUGGAGGCUGAAUUGGUGAAUUUCGAUGAAGACUGACGAAUCCAAUGGGGCUUGAGGGUUUGAUUUGCAAAGAUGAAAGAUAAGAGCAUUGUUUUGGUUUCUGUGCAAAAAAAAAAAAAAAAAAACAUGACAAGCGUUGUUUUGGUUUUGGUUCUAAAAAGAUGAAAAUUUGACUGCAAUGGAUCCAUACGCAGUCGGUGUCAAAUAAGAGGAGAAACAAAUAUGUUAAUCACUCGCUCAAUCACUCAUGCGAAGUGCCUUUUUUUUCGUUGCUUUGGCUUCUGAGAAAUAUAUGCAUCAGAUAUUACAACUCUCGAGGAUAAUGCAUUUUGUUCCGGUUUUGACUGAUAUUUAGUGGCAUUUGAUAAACUGAUACCUCAGAACCUGGUAGAGAGUUUAUUAAAUACAAAGAGAACAAAAAUAUAUGACUAUAUAAGCUUUUACACGGUUGAAGAUCCGGUCAAAUUGGCUUUAGUUAGCAAGAUCAUUUAAAACUUUCAAAAAACGAAUGGUAUCAAAAAGCUCUGAGAAAAAGCGGAAAAAAGGCACCACAAAGAUCUUGCAAUUAUUAUCACAGCUUGAUAAGACAUGGAAAUGUAUCUUACAAAUUGGCCUUCCAAGCAUCAAAGAAUUGGGUGGCGACAACUCCCAUUCCUAGCUGCUACCGUGGCCAGUCCCUUCUAACUAAAAUGGGACAGGACCAAAAGCAAGGUCUCUCCCACUCUCCUUAUGUAUAUAAAAUUCCCUACAUUCGAAUAAAACUACAGAAAAAGAUUUGCACAUCAUCUUCUUUCACCUUAUUUUGCAAUCUUCAAGAGUUUGGAAGAUUUCAAAGCACUUGUUAGAAUGUAGCACUCCAUUAAGCAUUCUCACCUUCCCCACACCCCAAUGGACCUCCUUAAUCCUAUCGGCAGACCUACAAAUUCUGCUGCAACUCCAAUCAAAUAAAGCAACACAAUUGUUGCCUGCCUAAGCCUUCCACUCACAGCCUGCAAUGACAAGUUCAUGAUACAAAAUCAGAAACAUUAAUAAACAAAAAGAUAUUACCAUUACUUGCAGAGGGGGAUUUGUUGCAAUUAGUAAAUGCCAUACUUAUCACUUUCAUUGCAGAUAUCAUCAUCAUCAUAAUACUAGCAAUCCAGCACUAAUAGUCAGAAUAAUAAUAAUAGUAGCAUGAAUAAAGAAUUUCUGCAGAGUAAGCUCUAAAGAUGCCGAAAGUGUCAUCUAUUAUGUUAAUAAUAAAAAAGUCUAUCAAGAAUUCAAGGAAAGAAAACUCAUUAACAAAGAACUAAACUUUUUAAUAAUGUUUAAUAAACUACGUACCUAUGAUUUUCUAUUAUUAACAUAAAUGACACUACGUACAACUGAUUUUCGCUUUCUAAUGUUUCAAAUCAUACCGAGAAAUAUAACAAUUACCAAGUCAGUAAGUAGCACAAUUACUUAAUAAGACUUUGACUUGUCUAACCCAAAAUUGUACCCAAUUCUAUACUCUACCAUGAAAAGCUUAUGAAGCCGAACUUACUUUGACCAAACAGUACUAUUAGCUCAGUUAAAGGAAACCACAAUUGAACAAAGUUCAGCUGAAAUAACUGAACUAAAAAAACUUGAUAAAAUUAAAAGUAACUUAUAACAGUUUAGUAAAGAAGCAUACAAAACAUGAAGAUAAAUAAACAUAGGUCUAUUUUCUUGACACUACCAGGUCCUUUCCUUUUUUUUUUUUCAGAUAAGAUCUCGAUACUACCAAGUUUUGGAUUCAAAAUCACCAUAUUACAAUAAUAGUUGUGAUUCAUGGGAUACAAUAUGUAGCAGCUUAUAUGUCGGCAAUUAUAGUCAAAGAUGGUUGUCAAACAUCAUCGCAAAUCAAGAAGCUAAUAAAGACCAUGUCACACUACAUUAACAUAUAUCAGUUCUUUGAUACAAAGAUAUUGAAUGUUAUACAUUUCUAAUCCCAAGUCCUGAAAUACAAAACAAAAGUUCACUUCACACAGUCAUAAAGCUAGACUGCUAGAUAAAUGGACAAUAGGCAUUGGAUAUGGGUCAAUAAACUAUUAAGCUAAUUAAUGCACACGAAGGAAUCCGUUAGAGCUAGUAAAAUAGCCCUUACCAGAGAACUCGCAGAAGCAUUCAAUUUCCUCAAAGGAGAUAACUUACAACAUAAACAUUUUGAUAAGCAGCAACACACAUAAAAUAGCUUCACUCACUAGCAACAGAGCAACUUCUUCAACACAUUAAUAAAUCCAUUUUCAUUUUUAAACAACAAAAUAAUGCCCAGUUUCUCCAGCACAAAUAGGGUAAGCAGUAAUAGAAAAACAUGAUACAUAGGAAUUACCGGCCUCAAGAAAUCUCCAAGCUUUCUGUCCUCUGCUUCAAUUGCUCAAUCAAGAAUGCCCCAGACGUUGCGCUAGCGUGGUGGUGGAGCGUCGCGAAGCGUGUGGCGGCGGUGUCGGCGAAGGCAGGUCAUGAAGAUAGUUGGUGUCGCGCAGCGAAGGCAGUGCAGCUGGUGUCAUGCGGCGAAGGCAAAUCGCGUGGUGGUGGAGUUGGGGUCGCGCGGCAGUGGCGGUGCGGUGCUGAGGCAUAAUAGUGGCGGUGGCGUUGUGCGACAGUGGCAGUGUGGAGGCAGAUUGCGUGGAGCUGGCGGUGUUGAGGCAGAUCGCGUGGAGGCAGAUGCCGCGGUGGUGGAGUUGCUGUCGCGAUCAACGCCUGUGAAAGGGAAUGAAAGUGAAGGAGAUACCUACAAAAGAAAGAACGAGUGAAAUUUUUUUUUUUGUUCAAGGGUUUCAAACCCACAUAAACCCGACUCUCACACGGGUUCAGUAAGUUUAUGCGGGUUUGACUGCAUUACAAAUUGGUAUGACCACAACAACAGUACAAUGAUUGGUAAUUACCAAACAUGCUAUUUAUGUUGGUAUUAAAUUAAUUUAAUACAAUGAGGAGUGGUAAUAUCAUACAAUGAGGACUGUUAAAUAUGGUGUGUUUAAUAUGUUGUAUUGUAUUAUAUUAUUUUAAUACAAAUAUAUUAUAUUAUCUUGUAUUAUAAUAAUAUUAUAUAAUAUUUUGUGCUACAUUGUGUUGUAUUAAUUUAUAAUUAUAAUAUAUUUAAUGUUGCACCACGCUGUACUAAUUUUUUUAGUAAUCAAUUUAAAUUAUAUAUUUUACAAAUAAUAUUUAUUAAAAUACUUAAAAAUGCUAAAUAUGAAAAUAUUGAAUUUUAAAAAUUUAAUAUUAUUUUUUUAAUAUAAAUAUUAAAAAAUAUCAUAAUUCUUCAUAGAAAUCGAAGUUCAUGGCAUUAAAUUUUUAACGCCGCAUACAUAAUAAAAAAUUUGAUUCUCUAGUGCCAAUAUAAUAGAAUACAUAAAAACGAGACUGAGAAACUACGAAUAAAGCUCAUCAUCAAGGACUCCACAACAUUAUAAGAAGUACUAUGUAACAUUUGCCAAAUUACAACACCACAUCAAGACAUAUCACAAUGUAAAAUUUUUCCUAGAGAUUUGGUAAUUGAAAAACACAAUUCAAGUUGAAAACUGAUAGUCGACUUGAAAAGUUUUAACAUAUCCCAUAAAAGAAAUGUGCCAUGCCAAAAAUCCUAACCCUUGGCUCUUUGACGAUAAGAAAAUAUUGAAAAUUCCAAAGUACAGUGCAAUGGGAGAAAGAAUGCCUAUAAAGCUAGUAAAGAUAUUCUUAAACUACUAUUGGGAUGUUGGGCUGGUUGGUAGCAAAACCCAAACCCUGCUGCUGAUUUCCGAUACCACCAUCUUGGAUAAGCCGCUCUCCCUCCUCUUCCUAACUCCUAAGCCCAAUAUCUUUCCAAAACCUUCACAACCCACUCAUAAAUCUCAUUGUUGUCGUGGAUAUGCAAAUUCUCAAUCUUUUCUACUCCAUCACACUCAUCAAUCAUUUGGGUAUAAACAUUAACCCAAUUAUCCAUUCCUAUUUCCUUGUUAACCUCACCCACCUUGAAAAUGUUCUCAAGACCCUAUAGACAAACUGUGACGAUCCUUUGGUCCAGACAAACCAGAAGAUCACAGAGCGGUUUGAUGCAACCUUGGCUCACCAGGAAUCUGCAGGACCAUGGUACCAUAAGUGAUUCUAUCACAUGAACAUCAUUAGAUUAAAAAAAGAAAAAAAAAAGAAACAUCUAUCGUAUGAACAUUGCUGAGUGAAUAAAAGAAACAUACUGAAUAUGUUCAUGAGAUCCUCCAUAUGUGGCAUUUAAGACAGGCCAUGCAGCCUCCUUGAUUUCAAGUUCUGCAUGUUGAAGAAGAGGUGCACAAAAGGAAGGAUAAGGAAGGAUGAUAUUGGCCUCCAUAACAGCCUGUUGAACAAAAAUUCGACAAAUUAUAAUUAUGAGUAUAUUUAAGUAGCAAUUUUGUCAGAAUUAACUAGACUUGACUAUUGAGGAAGUCACAUUCAAAAAUAGAAAAGACGAGCAAGCAAUUGUAUUCAUGCUAUCGGGACCAAAAUACUAUGAUGCAAGCAAGAAAGAAAAACAUACAUACAUAUAAAACACUAUCUUUGAGUUGGGUAUUUUCUUUCAAUUUUGAUAAUGGCAACUUUGGAUUCUUCUGCUGAAUUACCACCACCACCACACCAUUGUAGUUUCACAUACUAAGAAAAGGCAGGUUCAGCUCCCGUGCAUGCCCAUAAGAAUAUGAUGUAUUAAUUAGAAGUAAAAUUAAUCUGUUCAAUUAAGUUCUCUCAUAUAUUUGUGUGCGUGUGUGUGUUAAUUAGUUUGCUUUCAAAUCUUUUCUCCCUUCUUAAUGAUAUAUAUUUUAAGCAUGAUAUCAACCACGAUGAAUUUAUUAGCCGAUUUUUAAUUAUACAUUCAGCAUGAUAUCACAAACCAAGAGCUUAAGUUAGCCUAAUUCUUCAUAAAUCUAAUAAUUGCAAUCAAUAAUAAUGCUGAAAAUACGAGUUUGAAUUAAGCUAGCAACUGGUUCUUAAAUUAUGCAAUAUGUAAUCAUAGGUUUACUUAAAGAUUAAAGCAUUUCUGCAAUCCAUUGUGCAAAAAGAUUAAAAAAAAAAAAAAUAGUUGCCAAAUUUUAUCUAAAUAAAAAUUCCUUUAGUGGUUAGUACUUGUGAAUUAUAGAAAUUAUUAUUAGUACUUGCUCAGCGCUUUUUAGAUUUGUACAGGUAGAUUACGCCAUUUCAAACCCGACCAUCCAUUUAGACAUACAAAUCCCCCCAAUUCCCUGUCCUCCGCCUUUACGCGACUCUCCACUGUAUGUGCCAACUAAUUAAUUUUUUAAUUACUUGUUUAACUAAUUAAUUCAUUUUCUCAAAAGCAAGAUUAAUCUAUUUGUUCAAAUCUGAAGGAGAUUAAGUUAAUUGAUUUUAUUGUAUGUAAAAAUAUACAAAGAACUCAUGAAGCCAACUAGAAAAAAAAAAAAAGACAAAAAAAAAAUCAAACCCAGAAAUAAAAAGACAUGCUUCGACAGAAAAUUAAUGAAAAUUAUACUGAUUGUGGUUCAAUUUGAUCAAACCCAAAUAAUAACCGGUUUGAUUGAUGACUCAGCGGCAAAGUGCAGGCGCAUCAGUGGUUGCACAGAUGAGUGUUCUCGUGCGGCACGACAAAGCAAUUGUCGGCGAUUGUGAUUGGUGAUGACAUCGAGCGAUGGGGGUAAUGGCAUCGGUCGUGACUUUGUGAUGGAGAAACGAAUGUUAGAUUCGUUCGAAGAUUCGUGUUUUGAUUGAAUAACAAAGAGAGAUUUUAUGAGUUUUAAUUAUCUAAUACGAUACCGCAUAAACCCGACUCGUACGUGGGUUUAUUUUAUGCGGGUUUCGGUGUACUAAAGCAGUAAAUUUAUGUGGUGCAAUUCAAACUGAUUUCACCGCCAAAAGAUCGUGUAAAUUUAAUAUUAUACAGGGUUUUAAUACUAUGUAAUCCAAUACACCAAACAUGCCCUUAAAAACGGAUAGCAAUCCGGGGCCUUUAAAAACGGAUAGCAAUCCGGGGCCUUUAAAAACGGAAAAUACAAGCAGAGAAAAAGAAAAGCCAAUUGUUCAAAAGUGCCUAAUAUGCCCACGGAAAAUUUUCGUCACGACCCACAGUUACUCGAAUAGGUAAUAAGACAGGAAUGCCUUUGUUUGUUCGAAUAUAGAAGCACAAUGGCUCAGAAAGGAUCCCUCCAAUCUCCUUGGCACUGUCAGCUGGGUGCGGAGUAGCUUGGUGGCAGCAACCAUGUUUGAGAGGGCUGGCUUCACCUCAGUGUACUUGCGAGUCUUGAGACCACAGUCAGGGUUAACCCACAAAAUGUUGGUUUCUAGCACAGUACGCAUCUCGUAGAUUCUGUCAACAAUUUCUUCGGUUGAUGGUAUUCUUGGAGAGUGGAUGUCAUAGACGCCAGGGCCAAUUGCAGCAUCAUACUGGACUCCCUCACGGAAGACUGACAGGAGAUUCUCAUUAGAACGAGAGUUCUCAAUGGUGAUCACAUCAGCAUCCAUGUCGAUAAUUGAGUGGAUAAUGUCGUUGAAGUUGGAGUAGCACAUGUGGGUGUGGAUCUGUCAAUCAAUAAACAAUAGAAUGAGAUACAAAAUCAACAGCUAAAUUAAAGAGAUGAGAUUGGAGAUUAAAAGGGUAACUGACCUGGGUAGUGUCCUGGAUGCCACAGUUGGUGAUUCUGAAGGAGUGGACUGCCCAGUCCAAGUAGAAAGCAUGCUCAGAUUUCCUGAGAGGCAAUCCUUCCCUCAAGGCAGCCUCAUCAAUUUGAAUAACGUUAAUGCCUGCCUUCUCAAGAUCCUCGACUUCGUCCUUGAUGGCCAAAGCAAUCUGGUAGCAGGUUUCAUGUCUGCAAAAUUGGCAGCGAUUGAUGUUAAACAAUGUUUCCAUUCCAAAAGGUUAACCAAUAGUGAACCAGUUCUCAUUUAUAUACCUGGGCUGGUCAUUUCUGACAAAGGACCAGUUGAGAAUGGUGACAGGGCCAGUAAGCAUUCCCUUCAUUGGGCGAGCAGUCAUGCUCUGAGCCCAGGAGGACCAGAAGACGGUCAUAGCCUUGGGACGGCUCACAUCACCAUAGAUGAUGGGUGGCUUCACACAGCGAGAUCCAUAGGAUUGCACCCACCCAUUGGCAGUGAAGGCGAAACCUGAUAACUGCUCUCCAAAGUACUCAACCAUGUCGUUUCUCUACAAAAACAAAUGUCCGAAUUCAAUUUGAGAUCCAGCAUACUUCGUAUGCAAUUAGAAAUGCAGAAACAAAAAUGUAUAAAAUUUUAUGUAAUUCAAAACCAGGAGACAUUGCUUUGCUUCCAUUGGGCAUUGCGAGACUCACCUCAGGCUCUCCAUGGACAAGGACAUCAAUAUCAAGCUCUUCUUGGAGUUUGACAACCUUGUUGAUUUCCUCCUUGAUGGAAGCAACAUAUUCUUCCUCAGAAAUCCUAAAAAGGACAAAUAGUCACGGCACAGUUAAUACAGUAGUUGCAGUAAUUUCACACAUGGCAUUGAAUGAAGAAACACCUCAGAUUGACUCACUUCUUAGCCUUGUAUUCACGGCGGACUCUCCUAAGUUCAAUGGUUUGUGGGAAGGAUCCAAUUGUGGUGGUUGGGAGGAUUGGAAGAUUGAGCUUCUUCUGUUGAGCAUCUAAUCUAGCACUAACGUUUGUAGCACGUCUGUGGUCUGAUCCCCUCAAAGCAGCAGCCUAAUAGACCAAGAGGAAGGAAUCACUGUUAGCAAAAAAGGAAAUUCUAAGGGACAGCCACAUCAUAAAAAUGGAAAACAAAUCAAUCAUGCCACUUACAGCCUUUUGAACUGCCUCAUUGGUCACUCUCGGGGAGGACUUUCUUGAAGCCUGAGCUGCAGCAUUGGCAGAGAAGAAUCCCUGGAAACAAAUGAUAAGGAGAACCAAAGUUAGUCUCAUUCAUAUCAUUUUAAAAAGAAGAUACAUAUGCAAUUAGUGGGCUGAUUGUGAGAGAAAAAGUCCCCAAAACUUUAAUCAAACACCAAAUGCCCAAGUUGCCAAAUGAUGUUUAAUUCGGAAAAAUAUAUUUAAAAACAUUCAAAUAUAAUUUCCCCUUCUAAAUUUUCAUUUUCAACAACAUAUUUUACAAGCCAAGCUCAACGUCAGGCCAAGAUUUUGUGCUCCUAUAAUUAUAUUUUACCAUAAAACUAGGUCCUUGAAAGGCUAAGAUUUUCUGACUCUUGUGACUAGUCAAAGCCUAAGAUUCUUUCAAUUCAUCCGUAGUAAAAGUAUACCUCAUCCUUUUGGCCAGCCAAAGCCUUGGCCAAUGCAUUGACUUCAACAACUUUCUGGGCAGCAAAUGCCAGCCAUGACUUGAUUUCGUCGUCGAGUUUGUUCUCAUUAACAAGAUCAACAGCAGUGUGAAGAAGUGAGCAGGAGGUGGAGACCACAAGCUUGUCUGCAAAGAAAAGUAAUAAAUUAUACAACAAAUCCCAUAAUAGAAUAAGAAAUAUUUAUCACAAAGAAAAAUGCAAGCAAAGGAUGUAUACCUUUGCCAACAACACCCUCAAGCCCCCGGAGAACACUAAGAGAAGCAGCAAGAUCAUUGGCCCAAAUGUUCCUUCCAUCAACCACUCCAGCAAAGAGGUACUUGCCAGCAGGGAAUCCACUCUUGAUCAAUUCAAGGGUCUUGGUUCCACGAACCAAAUCAAAUCCAUAAGCGGUGACACCCUUCAAAGAAGUGAGGGUCUGGAAUGCCUCAGCUGGAACAUCAGCAAAGUAGGUCUCAACAAGAACAUUCAAGCCAGAC